CCUACGGGGGGCAGCAGUGAGGAAUAUUGGUCAAUGGCCGAGAGGCUGAACCAGCCAAGUCGCGUGAGGGAAGACGGCCCUACGGGUUGUAAACCUCUUUUGUCGGGGAGCAAAGCGAGUCACGUGUGACUCAUUGAGAGUACCCGAAGAGAAAGCAUCGGCUAACUCCGUGCCAGCAGCCGCGGUAAUACGGAGGAUGCGAGCGUUAUCCGGAUUUAUUGGGUUUAAAGGGUGCGCAGGCGGAGGUGCAAGUCAGCGGUCAAAUUGCGGGGCUCAACCCCGUACUGCCGUUGAAACUGCAGCCCUUGAGUGCGCGAGAAGUAGGCGGAAUGCGUGGUGUAGCGGUGAAAUGCAUAGAUAUCACGCAGAACUCCGAUUGCGAAGGCAGCAUACCGGAGCGCAACUGACGCUCAUGCACGAAAGCGUGGGUAUCGAACAGGAUUAGAUACCCUAGUAGUC
rnacentral:rRNA from 1 species